rnacentral:rRNA from 1 species
UACGUAGGGUGCGAGCGUUGCCCGGAUUUAUUGGGCGUAAAGGGCGCGUAGGCGGCCACGCACGUCCGUUGUGAAAUCGCCCGGCUCAACUGGGCGGGGUCAGCGGAUACGGUGUGGCUAGAGCAAGCUAGGGGGCAAUGGAAUUCCCGGUGUAGUGGUGGAAUGCGUAGAUAUCGGGAGGAACACCAGUGGCGAAGGCGGUUGCCUGGAGCUUUGCUGACGCUGAUGCGCGAAAGCGUGGGGGAGCGAGUCCGG